UAUAGUAGAGGAUAGCCCGGCGAAAGUCGGAUUAAUACUCUAUGUUUUCCGUUGCAGACAUCUAAGAUGGAACAAAGGCUUGCCGCUAUAGGAUGGGGAUGCGUCUGAUUAGGUAGUCGGCGGGGUAACGGCCCACCGAGCCAUCGAUCAGUAGGGGUUCUGAGAGGAACGGUCCCCCACAUUGGAACUGAGACACGGUCCAAACUCCUACGGGAGGCAGCAGUGAGGAAUAUUGGUCAAGUGGGCGAGAGCCUGAACCAGCCAAGUAGCGUGCAGGACGACGGCCCUAGUUGGGUUAGUAAACUGUCUUUUAUGGCGGGGAUAAAGUUCACUACGUGUAGUGUUUUGUAGGUACCGCAUGAAUAAGGACCGGCUAAUUCCGUGCCAGCCGCGGC
rnacentral:rRNA from 1 species